UACGGGGGGGGCAAGCGUUGUUCGGAAUUACUGGGCGUAAAGGGCUGGUAGGCGGCCAACUAAGUCGGAUGUGAAAUCCCCAGGCUUAACCUGGGAACUGCAUCCGAUACUGGAAGGCUUGAAUCCGGGAGAGGGAUGCGGAAUUCCAGGUGUAGCGGUGAAAUGCGUAGAUAUCUGGAGGAACACCGGUGGCGAAGGCGGCAUCCUGGACCGGCAUUGACGCUGAGGCGCGAAAGCCAGGGGAGCAAACGGG
rnacentral:rRNA from 1 species